rnacentral:lncRNA from 10 species
GGAGACUAUAGAAGAAUAUGAAUAUGUGUCAGGAGCGAGGCCACCUUGGUAGGAGAAAGUAAGAAGAUAUGACCAGUUAUCUCCUCCAUCAGACAAAGGCACUAUUGAUUGUUCAGGAAAUUAAGUGGCCCCCUUUGCACCACAGUGCAAAAAAUGUACUCUUCUUUGGUGAAUCUUUAUUAUGUUGAUUGUUAAAGUGAUAUCUGUACAUAUUAAAUGUGUUAUGGCCUUAAGUGUUACAAUCCUUGCUCUGUGUAUAUUUACAUUUAUAUGUGUAUCAAUAUUCUCAAGCAGGAACACAGCACUGCCCUUCCAGCUCCCUCCCCCAGCUAGAGGACAUCUGGCAAUUUGACAUUUUGGUUGUCACAAUCUAGGGGACAGGGCUACUACUAGCAUCUACAGGGUAGAGCCAGUGG